rnacentral:rRNA from 1 species
GACGAACGCUGGCGGCGCGCCUAACACAUGCAAGUCGAACGAGCGAGCGAGAGAUUGCUUUCUUGAGCGAGUGGCGAACGGGUGAGUAACGCGUGGGGAACCUGCCUCAAAGAGGGGGACAACAGUUGGAAACGACUGCUAAUACCGCAUAAGCCCACGGUGCCGCAUGGCACCGAGGGAAAAGGAGCCAUCCGACUUGAGAUGGCCCCGCGUCCGAUUUGCUAGUUGGGGUGGUAACGGCCCACCAAGGCGACGAUCGGUAGCCGGGCAGGGAGGUAGAGCGGCGACAUUGGGGGUGAGACACGGCCGAGAAUCCUAGGCAAGGGAGGAGAGGGGAAUAUAGCCCAAUGGGGGAGGCGCUGAUGGAGCGGCGCGGGGUAGAGGAUGUUGGUGUUCGGAUAAAACACUCGUGUUAUAGGGGGCGGUAAUGACGGUACCCAAAAAAGAAGCAACGGCUAACUACGUG